GCUCACACAGGGUGAGCUCUCUGGGAAGGCAGGUGUGGUCUAGAAGAUGAGGCUGCUGGGUCUUCUCCUGUUCCUGGUCACAGCUCUCCAAGGUGUCCUGUGCCAGGUGCAGCUGCAGGAGUCAGGACCUGGCCUGGUGAAGCCCUCAGAGACACUGUCCCUCACCUGUGCUGGGUCUGGAUUCUCCAUCACAACCAGCUAUUACUACUGGCAGUUGAUUCAUCAGUCCCCAGGGAAGGGGCUGGAGUGGACGGGGCUCAUAUGUUAUGGUGGUAGCACUUACUACAGCCCAUCCCUCAAGAACCGAGUGUCCAUCUCCAGAGACACGUCCAAGAACAAGUUCUCCCUGCAGCUGAGUUGA